CCUUAUAUCCUCCGUCUCCUGCAGCUUCCACCUUAGGAAAACCACUAAAAUGAUUAUCUCAUUAGCUAUUAAUUUUAUUCUGAAUUUACAGUCAAUCCAUCUGAUUUCUGCCAAAUGGCAGGGAUUUCCAGCCAGCUACUUCGUAACAGGGAGACUCCCGCUCCUCCCCCUUGACAGACCUCUCAGCCAGCCAAUAACCUGCAGCUUCUUGAACCAAGAAGAAUUGAAUAAUCCAGAAAAACUACAAUUAAAACACAGAUGCCCAGAGAUGAUGAUCAGUGUUUCUUCGAUGAAUUCAGCAGUUCAGCAUGCUGUGGAUGUUCGUCACACUGUCUGGACUCUCUUCUAAGGUCUGUUCCACAGCGUUCCAUACUGGCUCCAGCCUGUUCAUUCUCCUGCCCGUGCUGUUAAAGGCUCUUCCAGGUGCUGGAGUCAGACGGGACUAGAGCAUCUGGUCAGAUAUCCGGGAAACGCUGUCUAAGUGGCUGAUCUGUGUGGACAGGGACUUCCGGCUGUCCGUCUUCGGCCUCGCCCUCGUCCGGCUGUCCGUCUUCGGCCUCGCCCUCGUCCGGCUGUCCGUCUUCGGCCUCGCCCUCGUCCGGCUGUCCGUCUUCGGCCUCGCCCUCGUCCGGCUGCGCUCCGUCCCGAGGAUCACGGGUGGGUCCAGAGCCUAUCCUGGAAGAUGGGGCACCAACCCACAGCAGCGCACACUCACACAUGCACACCUAUAGGCAAGCUGGUAACUCAAAUUAACUUCAGCAUGAUUUUGGGCUGUGGGGGGAAACCGGAGAAUCUGGAGGAAACCCCACGCCGACAUGGGGAGUGUCAUGCCCGGCUCGUCCGCUCCUCCUGUGUGCCACGCCCCCUGCCUACCCACGUGUGUUUCCCGGAUUGUACCCAGCUGUGUCUGAUUAUUUUCAAUCAGUCCUGUGUAUUUCAGUCCGUGUCUUACCCGAGUCCUUUGUCCGUCAUUGAUGUCUCCUGAUGUUUGUGUGCGUGAGAUCCCCGUAUUCCCGAUUAAACCCCGUUCGUCCCGUAUCCUGCCUGCCUGCUUCCUCCUUCCGCACAAUCGCCGCUCUCCGCCUCGCUCGCGCACCACGACCCGUGACAGAAUGACGGACCUUAAAAAGAAAAGUAAGCGGCGAGGAAGGAGGAUCCCGGAGGAGCCGAUCCGCCUGGGAGCCUGCUCGCUCUCCAGGAUAUGGAUCGCUCCGGAGGAAGAGGUACCCGUGCGGUCUCCAGCCCGGGGGCCGCUCCCGCGAGGUACCUGCCCAGUCUCAAUGUUCUGGCCCUCGAGUGAGGACGAGGAGGAAGAGCCCUUCCUCUUCCCUUACCUGGAGCGGGAGCCGGUGUUUUCACCGUCUGUCUUGGCAGACUUUGCGCCACCUCCCGCUGCCACCAGGCGCCAGAAGAGCAAGGAGGGGUCCAUCGCAUACCCGGACCCACUGCU